AACUGCUCCGCUCCCUGACAGGAUUUUUCAUUCAUUCGUGCCAAUGAAACAGGAGGCCUCGAUUCGUGCAGAAGAUAAGGUUUGAAACCCAGACAGCACGAAGCAUCUUGCCGACGUCAAAAUCAGAUCAACAGACAGGGACAUCAGCCUUCUCUUGGGAAUAGGCCAGAUAUGCCAUAACAAGAAAUGGUGUUUUGCCCCUGCGGUUGUGGAGAGGAUGCUGUGGAGGUGGCAGCAUGAACGUGUCACACAGACAAUGGCUAAACUACUCUGCUUCUACACUUGCCCUCAGAGUUCACAUAUGGUGACGUGCACAGGUGUCCAGUCAGGUUCAGACUGAUGCUGGUAACAAGAGGAAAACAUGCUAAUUGUAUUUCCUCAUGUGGGAACUUUUGGACCUUUUUGCUUUGAUGCUGACAUUACUACCCGUGUACUUCAACCCCUCUGCUGCCACUGGGUCCUCAACGAGAAAAUAAACUGAUCUACC